rnacentral:rRNA from 1 species
CAAAUUUAAAAUCUGGUGGUCUUAGGCUGUCCGAGUUGUAACCUAGAGAAGUGCUGCCCGCGCUGGACCGUGUACAAGUCUCCUGGAAUGGAGCGUCAUAGAGGGUGAGAAUCCCGUCUCUGACACGGACUACCAGGGCUUUGUGGUACGCUCUCAAAGAGUCGAGUUGUUUGGGAAUGCAGCUCAAAAUGGGUGGUAAAUUCCAUCUAAAGCUAAAUAUUGGCGAGAGACCGAUAGCGAACAAGUACCCUGAGGGAAAGAUGAAAAGAACUUUGGAAAGAGAGUUAAACAGUACGUGAAAUUGCUGAAAGGGAAACGCUUGAAGUCAGUCGCGUUGGCCGGGGAUCAGCCUCGCUCUUUUGCGUGGUGUACUUUCCGGUUGACGGGUCAGCAUCGAUUUUGACUGCUGGAGAAAGGCAUGAGGAAUGUGGCAGCUUCGGCUGUGUUAUAGCUUCUUGUCACAUACAGCGGUUGGGAUUGAGGAACUCAGCACGCCGCAAGGCCGGGUUUCGACCACGUUCGUGCUUAGGAUGCUGGCAUAAUGGCUUUAAGCGACCCGUCUUGAAACACGGACCAAGGAGUCUAACAUGCCUGCGAGUGUUUGGGUGGAAAACCCGAGCGCGUAAUGAAAGUGAAAGUUGAGAUCCCUGUCGUGGGGAGCAUCGACGCCCGGACCAGAACUUUUGGGACGGAUCCGCGGUAGAGCAUGUGUGUUGGGACCCGAAAGAUGGUGAACUAUGCCUGAAUAGGGUGAAGCCAGAGGAAACUCUGGUGGAGGCUCGUAGCGAUUCUGACGUGCAAAUCGAUCGUCAAAUUUGGGUAUAGGGGCGAAGACU